GGUUCAUUCUCACUGGGAGCAGAAGCCAGUGAGAGAAGGGGCAGACCUAAAGGUGGACUAGGAGUAUUAGUCUCUACUGCCCUGCACACAACUCCUUUGUUCCAGUUGAAGUGGCCCCUCCCUCCCCCAACUGCCACCACAGAGCAACCAGGGACCAGCUUGCUCUGAGUGAGGAGAGAAGAAAGAAGUGAGACUAAGGCCCAUGUAAAAAUGUAAAUGUGUGGCUUGAUGUAUUCUUUAUUUAAGUCUUUUGUAAAUCACUUUGGGAGGUUUGCCCGAAAAGUGGCAUAUGAAUGCAAAAUAAAACUACUUCCCCAAUGCGUA